rnacentral:tRNA from 1 species
AUCACCUUGGCAGAACAAUGCAUUAGAUUUAGGAUUUAAAGAUAUAGAUAAUUACUAUAGGUGAUA